CUUCUCUUCGCUUGCUGCUUCAGACAUCCUGGGGCUUCCCAGAUGGCUAUUGGUGGAAGAUGGUGAGAAGAGGUAAUUCACCGUGUCACCCUUAUAAUCUGGUUACUACUGGCCCAGAGCUCCUGAGAGACAGUGGUCCCCAAGACCUCAGAGCAUCUUGUGGGUAUGGGAGCAAGAUCUGUGCAGGACAGAAAACCCAGCCUGAAGGUGAUGUAAGAGGGUACAAACACCCUCCCUUCACACACUGCUGCUGCUUCAAAUGGGAAGACAGAACUGAAAUGCAGUGUGAUCUUUGAUGAAGAAUGCCUUGGGGUGAGAAUUGAAUGAGAGAUGUGCCUUGAAAC